rnacentral:rRNA from 1 species
UACGUAGGGGGCGAGCGUUGUCCGGAUUUAUUGGGCGUAAAGAGCUCGUAGGCGGUUUGGCAAGUCGGGUGUGAAAACUCCGGGCUCAACUCGGAGACGCCACUCGAUACUGCUAUGACUCGAGUCCGGUAGGGGAGUGCGGAAUUCCUGGUGUAGCGGUGAAAUGCGCAGAUAUCAGGAGGAACACCGGUGGCGAAGGCGGGUCUCUGGGCAGUAACUGACGCUGAGGAGCGAAAGCGUGGGGAGCGAACAGG